AGGCCCAUAGCUCAAUCGGUUAGAGCUGGCGGCUCAUACCCGCUCGGUUGGGGGUUCGAGUCCCUCUGGGCCUA
rnacentral:tRNA from 1 species